UUCUUUUAUCACUAAAUAAAACAGAAAGACAAACUGUUUUGGAAAGAGUCACAGAGGGACAUGGAAGAAGGUACAGUGUUUUCCUGAGUUUAUGUUGUCCAUUUUGAUAUUACAGACAACAGUAAUUUUAAUUUUCAACUUCUUUUCUGGGGGUGGUGAUUUUAUCUGUGUUCAUUAAUGGCACUUCAAUAUUGACCUAAGCAUUUCUGAAACAGAAAACUACCAGAGGACCCACAAUGUACAAAGGUAAUGCUUCAAUGCAAAACAGUUACACUGAAUAUGUGAAUAAAAGUGCCCUUGUUACAUUAAUUAUUAUACUGAUAUUUUUGAACAGGAGUGAUAACAAGGGUCUACGAAAACCUACUGUGCAAUACAUCUGCUUGUCUUUUAUACAGGGUAUAGACAGAAGGCAGCUCCAGAGAGAUACAAGUAUUUUCUCCUGUGCAGGUGGAGAAGAAAGGAAGAGAUAUAGAAAACCCAGGGAUUCUCAGAGUCCUGCAGCAACCAAACACCUUGGAGAUCCAUCCAGCAGGUCUUGCAAUGCUCCAUGUGAACUAUGACUAAAAAACUACCUAUGUCCUCAAUCUAUUAUGUGCUAAUCAAACUAUUCCUGCAGUAUAACCACAUUAAAAGCACUACAGAUCACUGCCACCUGAAAUAAACAGCUGGGGAGGAAAUGCCUCACUAACUUGUUUGUCCAAGGAGGCAAAUCCAUGGUGCAUGGGAGAUACAGGGUUUGGGGUUGUUUUUCUAAUAGGUGUGUAACACUUUUACUCAGUGAUUUAUAUACAAAGGCUGUCUAGACAAUAAGUGAAUCAUUGUUAUUAAGCAGCUGCUUGGUGGUCUAUAAAAAGUAAAUUAGGUGACCUUCCAGAAGAGGCACCUAAAUAAAAACUCCGGGAGAUUUUCAAGGGAAAGGUCAGAACUUGGCUGUGCCUGUCAACUGUGCUGCACUUUUGCUUCCAGAGCUGGCUGCUCAUUUCUGCAGAGGCACAAACACAAAAGGCUUGUGGGAAAUCAAAUAGACAGGGCUUGUGGGAAGUUUGCACCACCACAGCUCCCUCUGUCCUGUAGGACAGAGACAUGAGCUGUCUCCACAGAUAUUGCAGGUGAUGAAAUGCUUGUUCCUGUGUGUAGACACCCUGUCACAAAGGCACUGCUGACGCUCUACAAGAAACUAUUACUUUGGGGAUACUACGGAAAGUAGAGGGACAUACAGAAAAGAUUGGUUUAAAAUAUAUUCUUGGAAGUUUCAAGUUUUAGUAUUCCAUAGUUUAAAGACCUGUAAGCAUAACUUGGCACAACAUUUGUUUUUAAACUUGGCUUGGAAACUGAAACAAGCUGGAGAGCAGAAACAGGAGCAGCACACCAUUGGUGAGAGCUCCCAGCAUCCAGGAAUGGAUGGACAUCAAUGGAAACAGAAGGGCAGGGAGGCUGGGAUGGCUUAGGCAGGUAUAGUGACAAUGCAGGAGGUCACCCACAGGCUUCCAGAGGGUUCAGACUAUUUAUUCUGAGCCAAGGUGAACAGCAUUCCAACAGGCCCCUGAUGCUGCCACACUGAUAACACCUACCAUCUCAACAAAACUCUGACAGCCACAUCUGCUGACUGCUAACAUGGCCUGUAUGAUUCAGGGCAACAGAGAUCAUCUCUGUGUGAUUAUUUCUUGUUUGUUGACUCAAUACUUCCAUUUAAAAGCACUGACAGCAAGGGCAUGGCCUGGCUCCUGCCGCUCCUGCUGCCCCAGGAGGCCUUGGGUGCUGAAGGAGGUCGCUGGCAGAGGCUGUGCAUGUUCCCAGCUGUGCCCUGGGGUGCUGCUGAAGAGGAAUGAACACAAGGACCAGCUCGUCACCUACAUCCCAACUGCCCAGAGCAGUCCCAUCUGGGGGACUUCAGAUCUCUAGAGAAGAAAGGAACCAGGGAUGGGCAAAGGACUGCCACUACCUUUGAGCAAGCAAGCUGUACCUACUGUUUCCCUGUUUCCUGAAAUCUUCCUUAUGCCCCACACCCACCCAAUCCAUGAACUGGCAAAUCUAAGCCUGUUUGGCCAAGCAGGCAGCCAACCUGCACAGCCCUCUGGGAGAAAACAGCUACAGUGUUAAGGACUUGCUGACAAGGCAUUAUUCCUUCCCCGCCUUUUAUUAUCGGGGUUGGGUAUUUUUAAUCCCAGAAACCUACUGGUUUGCAUGUUGAAGCCAGGCUCUUCUGCAUUGUGGGCAGGGUAAUCUGUACCAGUGCUUCUUGGAAUAUCUUCUUCCUGAUGGUGCUGCUGUCAUAGUCAUAUUGCUGUCAGAACACAGAACAGAAACAAGCCCGGACGUGCUUGGGGUUAUUAAUCACUCACACAAGGAACUGGUUCUUGUUAUCCUGUCACUGGUGCAUCAGAGGUGCACUCAGGGCUUUGAACUGCCAUGCAGGUUAUUCCAGCUUUUGCAAAACCACUCUAAAAAUCUAGAUUUCUGGCAUCUCUUUCCAUUCUUGUUUUUUUAUACUUAGGCUAGAAACAGCCCCUGAUUGCCCUCCCCAGGUAUUUCAGCACUGCCUCUUCUGAGAGGAACGAACUCUAGGGGCUGGCUAAUUAUACAGUUAAUUAAAACUUCUAUAUCCAGA